rnacentral:lncRNA from 1 species
GUGUGUGACCCCGCUAGAUUCGAACCUAAGCCGGUAGCACAGGAACCAAUUCCUGUACUAAUCGAAGUGCCCAUCUAGCAAUGGUACCCGACAUCCAGAUAGGUCGAAUAAUCGCAAUCGCAAUACUCAGAACCUACGUGAAUAUGAUUACUAUAUAAUUCAUCCCUUUUGAUCCCUGUGUAUAGGACGACUCAGGGUUAAACUGUCAACCCUGAUUAGAUCAUCCGAGUCGUGCUCAACUCAAACAGUCCUGUGACUCCUCAUUA